GCCAGAUGUGGUGGCGGGCGCCUGUAAUCCCAGCUACUUGGGAGGCUGAGGCAGGAGAAUUGCUUGAACCCAGGAGGUAGGGGUUGCAGUGAGCUAAAAUCGCACCACUGCAUUCCAGCCUGAGUGACAGAGCAAGACUCUGUCUCAA
ensembl:misc_RNA Metazoa_SRP Metazoan signal recognition particle RNA